CUCUUGACAUGUCUCGCUACGGGGUGUCACACAUAGAUCCCUUCAGUUCGGCUGGCGGGAACACAGGUUCUGCAUGGCUUUCGUCAGCUCGUGUCGUGAGAUGUUGGGUUAAGUCCCGCAACGAGCGCAACCCUCGCCCUUAGUUGCCAUCAUUAAGUUGGGCACUCUAAGGGGACUGCCGGUGAUAAGCCGCGAGGAAGGUGGGGAUGACGUCAAGUCCACAUGGCCCUGACGGGUUGGGCUACACACGUGCUACAAUGGCGGUGACAAUGGGACGCAAUGGGGCAACCCUGCGCAAAUCUCAAAAAACCGUCUCAGUUCGGAUUGCUCUCUGCAACUCGAGAGCAUGAAGUCGGAAUCGCUAGUAAUCGUAGAUUAGCAUGCCG
rnacentral:rRNA from 1 species